rnacentral:lncRNA from 1 species
UUUAGGUGGUUUUUUGUUUUUUGUUUUUGGUAGAUUCCUCACUUGGCUGUGACUAUGCAUUUUUAGUAGCUCAUUUUUGGUAACCAAAUUACGUUUUUAAAAUUUCAGUAUUGCUCUAACUGUGCAGAAUGGAUAAAGCUUUCAUGAUAAAUAGAUUUUAUAAGAUAUACUUGCAUCUUCUCAGUCUUUACUAACCAAUACCAUAAAGGAACCCAUAGUACAGACUUGAUAGUUUUAUUUGUAUCCAGAGCAUUACCAUCAAUAUUUAGACUGUAAUAACAAAAUUAUUAAUAUGAUAGCUUAUAUGUAUGUAUAUGAAGCAAAAAAUUAGUCUUAAGAAGCAGAUUCUUUUUCCUCCCCAGUCUCUCCCUCUCCACCUUUGUGUAUAUGUGUGUGUUUCUCUCUCUGUCUCUUUUUCUCUGCCUGUGUACAUUUAAUUCAACCAGUCACAUAGGAAAAAUGGGUAAAUAACAUACAUCUCUUCUCUAAAAGCUCAACCUUUAGUCCUAGAAUAUGGUAGACUGACAGUACUCUACUUUUUUAAAGUAUAAUUAUUUUGUAUUCCACAUAGCAGAUUCCAAAUCAGAAUCCCUUUCUGUUAAAGUAAAUGUUAUAAAUAAAAUAAUAAUGAUGCUGGGAAUUGUUGAGCAAUUAGGUACAGAGAUGGUCAGUUAGGGCAGUGAGCCAGAGGAAUGAUUAAGCCUUUAUUCAUUUACUGCAACAGUGCAAACAAGAGGCAAAAAAAGAGCUACUUGCUCUCCAGGGUCCCAUUUGUCCCCACAGGAUGGCACUGAGUGGGUGUCAGGUGGGUACAGCACAGGUGGGGAGAAUUGCUCACUAUUGAGGAGUUCAGAUAAGACCCCUGACUCUUUAUGGACCUUUGGGUCCAGGGCUAGGAGAGGGGGAAGGCUAGGAGUGAAAAGAUACUGAGUCAAAAUGGUAAAAAGGCCUUAGCCAUGGACCUCCACUAAGGAGGUCUCUGUAUGGAGGUGCCUGGGCUGGGAAUGCAGAUUUCCAUAUAAACCCAGCUGGCCCACAGGCUAGUGGGAGGAGGACUAAGGAAAACUCCUGGUUCUGAUGUGAUCCUCCCCAGGAGACCUGUCAAGGCAAAGCUUUGCAGUUACCUGUGGUUGGACCUGAAAGAUGACAUACGAGAUUGUGGCUUCAAGCUGAGUCCUUCAGGAGCUCAUUGUGUGCCAGACUUUGUGGCAUUCAUUUCCCAGAAAAGCUCAUGAGUCUGGGCUAAUUAUUUACUCCAUUUUAUAGAUUGGUUACCUGAUUUUCUGAAAGAUUAUGUUACUUGCCCAGUAGAUCUGUGCUAUCAGAUCUGUCAGCUAAAGUGUGCCAUGUUACAUAUUCAUAACAUUAGUUUUGGUUACAGCCUUCCAAGUUUCUUGUGUUAAAUACCAAUGUCACGAUUACUGGGUCAGUUAUUUGCUGGAAUGUGGUAAUGGGUGAACUCUUUGUAUACAUGGACAUUUGAUAAAAUUAAAGGUUCAAAUGGUUUUAGUGAGGAAGUAACAAGAGGCCAUGCUUCCAGUGGGCUAAAGAGCAAGGCAAGGUUAAGUCAAGAGAAUUUCUGUUCCCAGAAGCACAGAAUCACCAAUCACUUAAGGUCUUGGAAAUCGUCCCAUUUUAUACUAUGGGUGAAAAGAAUUUGAGUUUGUUUCUUAGUGCACUACAUCUAACUAAUAGUAGAGAUGGGACAAGAAGUCAGAAUUCCCGAUUUUUAGUUCAGUUCACAUUUUACUUUAGAACAAAUGCAAUAGCAGUGGGUCUGCUAUUAUUCCAACUUCAGAUGAGAAGAGGAAACUCACACUUGGAGACCAGAAACUUGAUCAGAAUUUGAACUUGGGCAGACCAACUCCAGCCACUACACAAAAAUACCGUCAUACUGUUCUUAUAAUAUGGGAAUACUGGAGAUUCUGUUUUUCUUAUGCAUAAUUCAGGACACGUGGUCUGAAGAAUAGCACCAUAAUACUUAGGGAAAUAAAUAGGGAGAAAUCUUACUUAUCCAUGCAAUCCUUGUGACUGUUCAUUGCUCCCUUUUCCAGUAUGUAAAAAAGUCAUGCUAUUGUUUUGAGGGAAAAUAAUAUAAAAAUAUAUGUAUUCCUUUUUAAUCAAGAAAUAGUACAUCAAUUGAUCUUUGAACUUAUGUUGUCAGUCUGAUGAAUUUUUACUACCGUAUUUUUCAGAGGCAUUUAUCAUUUUAAGUUUUAAAGCUAAAUAAGGACAGCUAAUAGCUAAUUAGCUAAAUAAGCUAAUAUUUGAACAUCAUGUGCAAAUGAUGUGCAAAGAAUUUUGGGGUUCAGAUUUGGGGCUAUGAUUCAUUUUAUAUUGUGAUUUUCUGACACCAUAUAUAUUAUCUUUAUUUUUUUAAAGAUUCAUGAAUUGAGAGAGAGAGAGCAAGUACAGGGAGGGGCAGACAGAAAGGAAAAGAGAAUCUCCAGCAGAUUCCUCACUGAGCUUGGAGCCCUACUCAGGGCUCAGUCUGUCUCAUAACCCUGAGAUCAUGACCUGAGCAGAAACCAAGAGUCAGACACUCAACCAACUGUGCCAUCCUGGCACCCCUGCAUUACCUUUAAAUAAAACACUUUUAAUCAUGGAAAUUUGUAUUACAAUUAAGUAUAUUCAAAUGCUUUUGUAAUACUUUUUUUUAAUAUUUAUUUAUUCAUGAGACACAUACACACACACACAGAAAAAGAGAGAGAGAGAGAGAGAGAGAGAGAGAGGCAGAGGGAGAAACAGGCUCCAUGCAGGGAGCCCGAUGUGGGACUCGAUCCUGGGUCUCCAGGAUCACGCCUGGGGCCGAAGGCAGUCACUAGACCACUGAGCCACCCAGGGAUCCCCAGCUUUUGCAAUACUUUUAAUUUAGUUAAAUGAAAGAACCACAAAUCAAAAUAAAACAAAUUUCCCUGUCUUUUCUUUCUGGAUCAACAUGGAUGAUCCCUUGCUGUAAGGUGUCGAGAGAGAACAGAGUGUGGAGGUGAGGGACCUAGAAACUUUACCCCUUAUCUCCCAGUUGGAAAUCAGUUCAAACCCUUGCCACUCCUCUCAUCGAUUUUACUGUAUCCAUUUUCUUAGCUGGUUAUGAAUAUUAAGUGUAAGAGCUACUAAGGUAUUAUAGGAUUUGAGAUCUCAGAAUUUUACUUACCUCAUGUCUUCUCCUACUGGGCUAUAACAGAGCCAGUCACCCGUGGGGCAGGUAACCUGUGUCAACAGCCUACUCCUGCCUCCACUUGGCUUCUUUUCCUACUACUGUUAUCCCUUUGGGCCUUCCUGCUGGUCCUCAGUUUAACUGUUCUGGGUCCCUUUCUCUUAGGACCUGGUUAAAUGCUGCCUUAAUAUUUGAGCAUCAUUUGACAUUGUUUCUUAACAUUAAGACUUUGACAUUUUUUGAACAGUGCUAUAGGUCAUAUGCUGUUACGUAGACAUCAUAACACCGACUUUUCUUUGGCCCACUCACCAACCUCAUGGCUUUUCUCAAGGUCCUUGGUGACCAAUUGCCUAACCACUUCUUUAAUUGUAUCUCUCUACCUCACCACAUAUUCCCUGUUCCCUCUACCUACUGUUUCUUUCCAUAGCUCUAGCACCUCCUAAUUUACUGCACAGUGUUCUUGGCUAUUUAUUUUUCAUCUACUCCCUACUGAAUCAAAAGUUCCUUGAGGGCAUGUUUUUGUUUGUUUAGCUUUGUUUCUUAUCCAAUGCUAAGAAUUCCAGAGUUUGGAAUAGGGACUGAUACCAAGUAGCUGUUUGAUAUUUUGUUGAAGUAACAAUGAAUUAUGGGGGCACAUGACUUUCAUUAUAUUCCAAAAAGAAUUUUGUUCAGUCAAGUGGUAGUCAGGAAUAAUUCUGAUUUGGUCUGAGAUUUAUUUGUUUGUCUUAGAUCAAAGUACUAGGAUCCCAAGUGAUUUUGAAUAACUCCAUUGCUGCUUCUUGCUUCUUCUUGUUUUGCCAGGACCAGUAAGUAAUUUGCAGAUGACUUCUCCAGCUGCAAACUGAGAUAUGAAAGCCAUCAGGAUCUAUUGUGUGUGUGUGUGUGUGUGUGUGUGUAUGCUAUCUGAUAUAUGUAUAUGCUGGGUGGUGUUUAAAGAACUGUAAACUUCCCUUCUAUGCAAAAUAUGAUAAUGAGAAACAAAAGGGCCAGAAGUAGAGAUAGGAAAACCAAAAAUCACGUCUUAAAUAAAAAUCUACACAUACAUACAUAUAAAUAUAACAUAUCAUAUCACGUAUAUAUCACAAGAGUUGAUUCUAUGUAUUAUACACUGAAAAUAGAGUAGUUUUCAGAGAAGAUAUUUACUAGUACUAUUUUGAUGACAGAUUGAACUAUAAGAGAAAAGGUCUUUGAUAUUAUCCAUGAUAGAAAAAAAAUAGUAUGAAGGAAAAAUAAUCAUCUAAAUUAAACUAAUUUGGAACCAAAAAGACUGAACUCUAUAUCUACAUAUUACUAAAAGUUAUGAACAACCCUCUUCAGAAUCUGCCAGCGACCAAUGAAGAUGUUUUCAAGUGUUUCUCUAAUCAGAUGAACAGGGGUAGCCAUUCAUCAGUACUUCACCAUUAUGUCAUCAUAAUUAUCUUAAAGCACAGAAGGGAAAUGCAUAAGGGUUUCUUUAGGCUAAAGGUUAAUUUUAAUUAAGUAUUGGGGCAGAAGUCAGACUUUCUGACUACAGAGUAAUUUUUGUACUGCUCUGAGAAUCUGUGAGUAUUCAAAAAGGUUCAUAACAGCAUUAGUGUUAAAUGAAUAGUCUGUUUAACUUGGAUAUAAUAGGUCAAAAAAAAAAAAAAGCCCAAAACAAAAACGUAACUCUAGUCUUGAAUUUUGAAAGGCCUUUUGCCAGAAAAGGAGAAUGUGCAGUGGGUUAGAGUGUUAAUUAAGGGGAAAAUCCCAGGAGAAUUUUAUCAUCUUCCUAAAUAAAAACUACUUUUGUUGAGAUCUGUACGCUCAAAGCACUAUGAUGCUCUGAUUUUUAUGAAUCAGACAACAGUAAUAUCAUUGACAAGUAUAAGCAUGAGUUUUCUUAAAGAGAAAACAAAGUUGUUUGAGCUCCUUUUGAGUAGCUUCAGGGACUGCUGUCCCUUAACACUUCAUUGAACUAUGUCU